AACUCCUACGGGGCGCAGCAGUGGGGGAUAUUGCACAAUGGGGGAAACCCUGAUGCAGCGACGCCGCGUGGGUGAAGAAGCGCCUCGGCGCGUAAAGCCCUGUCAGCAGGGAAGAAAAUGACGGUACCUGAGUAAGAAGCACCGGCUAAAUACGUGCCAGCAGCCGCGGUAAUACGUAUGGUGCAAGCGUUAUCCGGAUUUACUGGGUGUAAAGGGAGCGCAGGCGGCACGGCAAGCCUGAUGUGAAAGCCCGCGGCCCAACCGCGGGACUGCCUUGGGAACUACCGGGCUGGAGGGCCGGGGCG
rnacentral:rRNA from 1 species